rnacentral:rRNA from 1 species
GAUAAACGCUGGCGGCGUGCCUAAUACAUGCAAGUCGAGCGAACGGACGAGAAGCUUGCUUCUCUGAUGUUAGCGGCGGACGGGUGAGUAACACGUGGAUAACCUACCUAUAAGACUGGGAUAACUUCGGGAAACCGGAGCUAAUACCGGAUAAUAUUUUGAACCGCAUGGUUCAAAAGUGAAAGACGGUCUUGCUGUCACUUAUAGAUGGAUCCGCGCUGCAUUAGCUAGUUGGUAAGGUAACGGCUUACCAAGGCAACGAUGCAUAGCCGACCUGAGAGGGUGAUCGGCCACACUGGAACUGAGACACGGUCCAGACUCCUACGGGAGGCAGCAGUAGGGAAUCUUCCGCAAUGGGCGAAAGCCUGACGGAGCAACGCCGCGUGAGUGAUGAAGGUCUUCGGAUCGUAAAACUCUGUUAUUAGGGAAGAACAUAUGUGUAAGUAACUGUGCACAUCUUGACGGUACCUAAUCAGAAAGCCACGGCUAACUACGUGCCAGCAGCCGCGGUAAUACGUAGGUGGGCAGCGUUAUCCGAAAUUAUGGGCGUAAAGCGCGCGUAGCGGUUUUUUAAGUCUGAUGUGAAAGCCCACGGCUCAACCGUGGAGGGUCAUUGGAAACUGGAAAACUUGAGUGCAGAAGAGGAAAGUGGAAUUCCAUGUGUAGCGGUGAAAUGCGCAGAGAUAUGGAGGAACACCAGUGGCGAAGGCGACUUUCUGGUCUGUAACUGACGCUGAUGUGCGAAAGCGUGGGGAUCAAACAGGAUUAGAUACCCUGGUAGUCCACGCCGUAAACGAUGAGUGCUAAGUGUUAGGGGGUUUCCGCCCCUUAGUGCUGCAGCUAACGCAUUAAGCACUCCGCCUGGGGAGUACGACCGCAAGGUUGAAACUCAAAGGAAUUGACGGGGACCCGCACAAGCGGUGGAGCAUGUGGUUUAAUUCGAAGCAACGCGAAGAACCUUACCAAAUCUUGACAUCCUUUGACAACUCUAGAGAUAGAGCCUUCCCCUUCGGGGGACAAAGUGACAGGUGGUGCAUGGUUGUCGUCAGCUCGUGUCGUGAGAUGUUGGGUUAAGUCCCGCAACGAGCGCAACCCUUAAGCUUAGUUGCCAUCAUUAAGUUGGGCACUCUAAGUUGACUGCCGGUGACAAACCGGAGGAAGGUGGGGAUGACGUCAAAUCAUCAUGCCCCUUAUGAUUUGGGCUACACACGUGCUACAAUGGACAAUACAAAGGGCAGCGAAACCGCGAGGUCAAGCAAAUCCCAUAAAGUUGUUCUCAGUUCGGAUUGUAGUCUGCAACUCGACUACAUGAAGCUGGAAUCGCUAGUAAUCGUAGAUCAGCAUGCUACGGUGAAUACGUUCCCGGGUCU